AGAGUUUGAUCCUGGCUCAGAUUGAACGCUGGCGGAAUGCUUUACACAUGCAAGUCGAACGGCAGCACGGGGCAACCUGGUGGCGAGUGGCGAACGGGUGAGUAAUACAUCGGAACGUGCCCAAUCGUGGGGGAUAACGUAGCGAAAGUUACGCUAAUACCGCAUACGAUCUACGGAUGAGAGCGGGGGAUCGCAAGACCUCGCGCGAGUGGAGCGGCCGAUGUCAGAUUAGGUAGUUGGUGGGGUAAAGGCUCACCAAGCCAACGAUCUGUAGCUGGUCUGAGAGGACGACCAGCCACACUGGAACUGAGACACGGUCCAGACUCCUACGGGAGGCAGCAGUGGGGAAUUUUGGACAAUGGGCGCAAGCCUGAUCCAGCCAUUCCGCGUGCAGGAUGAAGGCCUUCGGGUUGUAAACUGCUUUUGUACGGAACGAAACGGCGAGCUCUAAUACAGUUUGCUAAUGACGGUACCGUAAGAAUAAGCACCGGCUAACUACGUG
rnacentral:rRNA from 1 species